UACGAAGGGGGGCUAGCGUUGCUCGGAAUUACUGGGCGUAAAGGGCGCGUAGGCGGCACUGUUAGUCAGGCGUGAAAAGUCCUGGGCUCAACCCCAGGAACUGCAUUUUGAAAACUCCCCUUUCUUGAGUACCGGAGAGGAAAAGUGGAAUUCCUGGUGUAGAGGUGAAAAUUCGUAGAUAUCAGGAGGAACACCAGUGGCGAAGGCGGCCAUCUGGACCGCAACUGACGCUGAGGCGCGAAAAGCGUGGGGGAGCAAAACAGG
rnacentral:rRNA from 1 species